rnacentral:miRNA from 1 species
CCGACCUGCUUUGUGACUU